GCAUUGGUGGUUCAGUGGUAGAACGCUCCCCUUCCUUGCAGGAGACUCGGGUUCAAUUCCCAGCCAAAUCA
rnacentral:tRNA from 1 species